ensembl:lncRNA
AGCGCUGCAUUUCUUCCCCAUCUUACCAUGGAUAGGGUUUGGUGCAUUCCGGAGUUCACUUAUGGUCCCACAAAGGAUUUCUGUAGAAGCAGCCUUUAUUUUCAGACUCUGCAGGCCUGCUGGGAGGAAACAUAUUACAAUAAACAGAAGAAGCUCAUGGUCCACUAUCUGCUGCUCCAGAGUCAAGGCCAGGUCCCUCCCCAUGUCACCACGGAGCACAUGAGCAAAUGGCUGGUGUCUCAGGGCAAAAAAUCUCUUAGGGAGAGGGUGUGGAAGGAAACCCUGGAGGAGGGAAAUGACCUCACUCGGCUGGCCUGGGAAGUAAACACUUGCCUAAAAAUGAUGAACAUAGAGCACGAGGUUUUCUGCAAGCUCCGCCGCUCCAUGCACCCCACCUCGCCAGCUGAC